rnacentral:rRNA from 1 species
UACGUAGGGUGCGAGCGUUGUCCGGAAUUAUUGGGCGUAAAGAGCUUGUAGGCGGUUUGUCGCGUCUGCUGUGAAAAUCCGGGCUCAACCCCGGACUUGCAGUGGGUACGGGCAGACUAGAGUGUGGUAGGGGAGACUGGAAUUCCUGGUGUAGCGGUGGAAUGCGCAGAUAUCAGGAGGAACACCGAUGGCGAAGGCAGGUCUCUGGGCCACUACUGACGCUGAGAAGCGAAAGCAUGGGGAGCGAACAGG